GACGAACGCUGGCGGCGUGCCUAAUACAUGCAAGUCGAACGCUUCUUUCCUCCCGAGUGCUUGCACUCAAUUGGAAAGAGGAGUGGCGGACGGGUGAGUAACACGUGGGUAACCUACCCAUCAGAGGGGGAUAACACUUGGAAACAGGUGCUAAUACCGCAUAACAGUUUAUGCCGCAUGGCAUAAGAGUGAAAGGCGCUUUCGGGUGUCGCUGAUGGAUGGACCCGCGGUGCAUUAGCUAGUUGGUGAGGUAACGGCUCACCAAGGCCACGAUGCAUAGCCGACCUGAGAGGGUGAUCGGCCACACUGGGACUGAGACACGGCCCAGACUCCUACGGGAGGCAGCAGUAGGGAAUCUUCGGCAAUGGACGAAAGUCUGACCGAGCAACGCCGCGUGAGUGAAGAAGGUUUUCGGAUCGUAAAACUCUGUUGUUAGAGAAGAACAAGGACGUUAGUAACUGAACGUCCCCUGACGGUAUCUAACCAGAAAGUCACGGCUAACUACGUG
rnacentral:rRNA from 1 species